CAAUCAAAACAAUCUUGAAAAGGUAAUCCUCUGUUUGUGCUUCCUCGGAACGAAACGCCAUCUUCUUUGAGUAAAAUGGCAGCUAGAACACCAUAGUUGCUUAUAAACACCAAAAGUAAUAAAUUUAAAAGCACAAAUAGGCAGAAGGCCGUCAGGAAAACUUGUAAGGGAAUGCAGGAAUAUGUAAGAUGAGGCUUCAGCUUAGGAACUGGUUAAAGAGAAGAAAGGAAUCUCAAUAUAGUAGUUGUAUAUGAAGGCGAAGAAUGACAAGGUAAUUUAAAAUAGGAACUUUCUAUUAACCCUGUACUACAACUUCUUCCAGCCACUUCACUGCUGGGUAACUCUUUCCUAUUAUAUUCAGUCCUCCUAAAAGGGACAGCUUUUAGAUACCUGCAUAAAAAGAAAAAGACAAAAACUUAAAACUUCAGCAAGGAAUCCAGUCUAAACUUUGCUUUCCCAUAAAACAAUGUGGCAUUCUUCCACAAGAUUCUUCAAUAGGAUACAGUCUAAUUAUAAUAGGUAAGGAAAGGAAAUUAUACACGACCAAUUAGCUGUUGCUCGUCUAAUGCCCCAUCCUUGCCACCUCCCACUUCCCCUGCUUCUUGUUGCAGACUCUUUAAGCGCAAACCUAGAAGAAAAAUGAAAGGAAGUACUGCUAUAAGACUUGAGGCAAAA
rnacentral:lncRNA from 1 species